GACGAAGGGGGCUAGCGUUGUUCGGAAUUACUGGGCGUAAAGCGCGUGUAGGCGGUUGUUCAAGUCAGGUGUGAAAGCCUUGAGCUCAACUCAAGAAAUGCACUUGAUACUGGAUGACUAGAGGACCGGAGAGGAUAGUGGAAUUCCCAGUGUAGUGGUGAAAUACGUAGAGAUUGGGAAGAACACCAGUGGCGAAGGCAGCCUCCUGGGCCAGCACUGACGCUCAUGCACGAAAGCGUGGGGAGCAAACAGG
rnacentral:rRNA from 1 species